rnacentral:tRNA from 1 species
GUCCGGUUAGCUCAGUCGUGAGAGCACUCGUCCUGUAAGCGAUGUGUCCCGGGUUUGAGUCCCGGACUGGCUG